rnacentral:rRNA from 1 species
GAUGAACGCUGGCGGCGUGCCUAAUACAUGCAAGUCGAGCGAACAGACGAGGAGCUUGCUCCUCUGACGUUAGCGGCGGACGGGUGAGUAACACGUGGAUAACCUACCUAUAAGACUGGGAUAACUUCGGGAAACCGGAGCUAAUACCGGAUAAUAUAUUGAACCGCAUGGUUCAAUAGUGAAAGACGGUUUUGCUGUCACUUAUAGAUGGAUCCGCGCCGCAUUAGCUAGUUGGUAAGGUAACGGCUUACCAAGGCAACGAUGCGUAGCCGACCUGAGAGGGUGAUCGGCCACACUGGAGCUGAGACACGGUCCAGACUCCUACGGGAGGCAGCAGUAGGGAAUCUUCCGCAAUGGGCGAAAGCUUGACGGAGCAACGCCGCGUGAGUGAUGAAGGUCUUCGGAUCGUAAAACUCUGUUAUUGGGGAAGAACAAAUGUGUAAGUAACUAUGCGCGUCUGGACGGUACCUAAACAGAAAGCCACGGCUAACUACGU